UCAGGGAAUGCGGGAGCACAGAGAAGACUCGCCAUUCCCAGGCCUGGGAGUGGGGUGCCGGGAGAGGGAGAGAGGAUGCUUCUUGUGGAGAUGGCUUCUUAGUUCACUCUGAGAAGACGAGGGUGAGGAAUCUUAUUGAAGUGGGAGAGGGCAGCAGACUAGGACUUGCCAAGGACACCAGAGAUAUCCGGAAGCCACUGAUGCUGUGUUCUUCAACGAAGCCCCCAAGAAUCAUGCCGGUCCUGAUCAUUCUGCAAAAUAUUUAAAUAUAGAGGAAUGAAUGAAUAUGUCAGCAAAAACAAGUACUUCCCCCAUUUGUUUCAAAGUCUGAAAAACCCUAAUAAAAGCCAAAUAAUAAA